CUCGAGGCGGCGGAGGCGAGGUCCUGCCGACGGCGGCGCAGGUUGAUUGGAAUUCAGUUUUGCAAGUCUCUGCAGCGGUCAAUGAAAAAGAAGUAACAGGGAUGGUGUGCCCAAUCUGCAAGUCCGACUGAGCUAGCCAUCGCUCAUCGGGUUUAAAUUUUGGUGUUUGAUUGUCUGAAGACAUUGAAAGCUCAGUGUUUAUCCCAUGCCACUCAAUGGUCGAAUUCAAUUGCGCCACUGGCGACCGCAUGCUUUUUGAGGAAUGUGAGGGGUGCAAAUUCAUCACCGAGAUCAGGAAAGAACACAGGAGGACCUGCAUCUGUGGCGUUGGGUGGGAGGACUUCAUCAGGUUGAAAAAUCUCAGUGAGGGAGUUUUGCUCCGUUUUGUACUCGAUGGACCAGUGCCAAAGUUGCAUGGUUGCGCCAACUCCCAACCAGGCUGAUCUAGCGCUUGAGGCUGCUGUGUUCACGGAAGACAUCAAGAAGAAGGCAAGAGAGAGUGCAAAGCUGUAUGAAACUCUACUGUGUUGACCAACGGAUACAUGGGGUGCCAUUUGUGCAUCUUUUUUUGUUCAUUUUCAGUGUGACCAUUCAAUCCUUAGUUUUCUGGUCUCCGGUAUAUUCUUGUUGUGGUCAGUUUUGAACUAGAGAAGAAAGUUAAAGGGACAUAUAGCUAAGCGAGACUCUGGUUUGCAUCCAGCAUCAUGUUUACUUGGCUCCUAUUUUUGUUACUUUUUAAAGCUAUACUGUCACUCCCAUUUAGUCCA